AGAAAACGUUGACAUUCUGCCUUGGGCUGAAGGCUGAGGAGAUGACCAUGUCCCUGCAGGGCUUGAAUGGUGCUGAGGAUGCUAUGGUGACAGUCUCCCAGAAAGACACUGACAUCGGGACAGUUCAUAAGGUGGUGGAGUACCAUGGCGGCUCCGGCAGCCAGCCUAUUGUCAGUCCUA